CAGCGCCACAAGUGGGAGCCGCGAUUAUUGGGCCUAAAGCGUCCGUAGCCGGUUUGGUAAAUCUUUUGUGAAAUCGUUGGGCUUAACUUAACGACGUGCAGAAGACACUACCAGACUUGGAACUGGGAGGAGUCAGAGGUAUUUCUGGGGGAGCGGUAAAAUGCUAUAAUCCUAGGAGGACCACCGGUGGCGAAGGCGUCUGACUAGAACAGAUUCGACGGUGAGGGACGAAAGCCAGGGGAGCAAAACGGAUUAGAUACCCGAGUAGUCC
rnacentral:rRNA from 1 species